GACGAACGCUGGCGGCGUGCCUAAUACAUGCAAGUAGAACGCUGAGGUUUGGUGUUUACACUAGACUGAUGAGUUGCGAACGGGUGAGUAACGCGUAGGUAACCUGCCUCAUAGCGGGGGAUAACUAUUGGAAACGAUAGCUAAUACCGCAUAAGAGUAAUUAACACAUGUUGGUUAUUUAAAGGGAGCAAUUGCUUCACUGUGAGAUGGACCUGCGUUGUAUUAGCUAGUUGGUGAGGUAAAGGCUCACCAAGGCGACGAUACAUAGCCGACCUGAGAGGGUGAUCGGCCACACUGGGACUGAGACACGGCCCAGACUCCUACGGGAGGCAGCAGUAGGGAAUCUUCGGCAAUGGACGGAAGUCUGACCGAGCAACGCCGCGUGAGUGAAGAAGGUUUUCGGAUCGUAAAGCUCUGUUGUUAGAGAAGAACGUUGGUAGGAGUGGAAAAUCUACCAAGUGACGGUAACUAACCAGAAAGGGACGGCUAACUACGUGCCAGCAGCCGCGGUAAUACGUAGGUCCCGAGCGUUGUCCGGAUUUAUUGGGCGUAAAGCGAGCGCAGGCGGUUCUUUAAGUCUGAAGUUAAAGGCAGUGGCUUAACCAUUGUACGCUUUGGAAACUGGAGGACUUGAGUGCAGAAGGGGAGAGUGGAAUUCCAUGUGUAGCGGUGAAAUGCGUAGAUAUAUGGAGGAACACCGGUGGCGAAAGCGGCUCUCUGGUCUGUAACUGACGCUGAGGCUCGAAAGCGUGGGGAGCAAACAGG
rnacentral:rRNA from 1 species